CGAGAAGUCUGGAGCCUUGCAGGACCGGGAGGAGGAGGAGCUCUGAGGAAGAAGAGAAACUCAGAGGAGGAUCCACUCAGAGGUGGAGGGGGAGCUGUGAGGAGCAGCAACUCUGAAGAGAAUGGCAAAUUCGAGGAGAGACCAUAGAGGCCGGAAGACAACAGGACAACACAUGCAAAUCCUGAAGAACAUCGUCCACAUUGCCUUCGUUAAGAAAAAAGUAUCCUUCAGGAAGUAGAAAGCAGGUCAUUCCCAGAUAAAAGUUGAAGGUAAUUGUCAGUGGACUUGGCAUACAAGGGGCAGUGGAGGGAGCUCUCCAUGCUGAAAUGAAGUGAUACUAGCCAGUUAACUCACAGCGACAGAAGAAAAAAAGCACAGGGCACAGUAAGAACACAGUAAAAGUGCUAGUGUAUAAAACAUAGAAAUAGCCUGUGGCAAUGAAAGUACAGUGGGGGAGGGGGGAGAGAUGAGAAGCACCAGAUCUGUAUACUACAGAAGGUAACUUGUUAUUCAGAUAAGGUUUUUGUAAGUUUAAGGUGUUGGUUUAUGCCUGGAAGCUUCCUCUCCAGCUAUCCUGGAAUAUGUAGUGUGGCAGAAACAGCAAGGGAGGCUUUGCCUCAGCAAGGAGGAAGAGGGGAACUGAAUCCCGGAUGUUAUCCUUUGACCUCUCUAUAUGCACUCUGUGGCACUCCCCCAACCCCGUGUACACACCCUAAUAAUGAGUUUUAAAAGAUGUUGACUUGAUCCCCAAAGUAAAUAAUGGGAAUCAAAUAAAAGGUACAGAGAUGAAAGGAGGGUCAAAGAGGAACGCUAAGCUGCCAACAACAUGAGGAAGGCAAGGGCAGGGGAAGGGAAGAGGAAAGGAAUGCAGAAAUAAAUGGAAGAGGUGGUGUAUCGCUGUGACACAAACAUUUGGAUCAAUAGUGACUCUGGGGAGGGACAGUGAUGGCAGAAGCUGAAGCAGAAACUGUAGGGAUUGUAGUGGUUUUUUGUUUGUUUGUUUUUGUUUUUGCAGAUGUUGCUUUUUGCUUCCUAUUUUUUCCUUUAUAUUCUUAUCGAUACUUUAUUUAUGGGUCCUUCUUUUAUCUGUCUCCUCACAAUAUUUUCUCUGGCUCAGCUCAGCUUCUUCUAUCUCAACUGUCGCCAACUGUCUUCUCAGUCUGCUAGCCUAUUCACUUUCAAGUGUCCCUUAUUUUCACUCUUCUCCUCUCUAACCUUAUUCAGUCUUCUUUCUUCCUGCAUCAACUGUCUUCUGACUCUACUCUUCUGUCUCCUGGGCCUUACUUCUAUCUACUACUGAGUCCUAAUACUCUCAUUUUCUCUCCUACAACUACUCUCUCCAGCUCUGUACUCUCUGCUCCACUGCUCUUGGAAUCAAGCCUCCCAUUCUGCCUAGCCACAAUGAUGGCCACAUGUCUUUCAGUGUUUUGUUUUUAUUUUCUCCUUCAAUCAGCUUGCCACAUUAGGUGCCAAAUGUAGCUUUUUGUAAAAGCUUUUUUUUGUUGUUGUUCUUUAAUUCUUUCUCUUUUCUUUUUAACAGCUACUUUGUAUGCUGAGAAGAUCCGUUCUAAAAUACCAUCUUCACUUUGCAAAUGAGCCAACUAGGAAAAUGAGUAGAAGGCAAAAAUAACUAAAACAUGGUCCAGUUUGGGAUCUAUACAAUCCAAAUAUGAUCCCUGUAGUCUCUUUUUCUACUAAAGUUAACACUUUCUCUGCUUCCUUUGUUAGCUGUCAUGGACUGAGUCUGAAUCUCCUUGUAAUGUUUGAAACAAAUUACUUAACUUAUGAGUAGUUAAUCCAGUGGGGGUGCUGUAUCUAAUUAACAUCUCCCAUUGAUUUUUGAAAAUCAUUAAGAGUUUGCAGCUGAUCUCUUCUGAUCUGUACCUUCUGUGGUUGACUUUUUUUGUUGACUUAUUUCAUAACCUAGAUAGUGGAUGGAAUCUCAUCUCUGUUUUUUGAUUUUUACAGGAAGAAGCAAUCUGCAAACUCCAAAAAGGUAAAAUUCUUUUGUUUCACUAAACAUUUUCUCUAAAGUAUCUGCACAUAUGUCAGCCAACAAAAUAUCAUCCAUGUCAUGGUAAUUAACGGAUUGAGGAAAUUGCCUAUGAAUUAUCUCUAUCUGUUGUUGCACAAAAAAAAUUGGCAUAGGAGCUGGAUUAUUUAACAUCCUUGUGGAGGAAGUUUCCACUGAUAUCUUUUUACAGGUUGUAUAUUAUAUAUGUAGGCAAAGUGAAGACAAAUUUUUCAUUAUGCUGCUCUUGUAAUGUGAGAGUAAAACAGCAGUCUUAAACCAAUUAUUAUCAUAAGCCAUGCCUUAGGUGGUGAAGAAGGCAAAGGAAUUCCAGGCUGUAAUGGACCCAUUGGUUGGAUUACUCUGCUCACCACUGUCAAAUCUGUUAAUAUUUUCCAUUCCCCGAUUUCUUCUUUUAUAGCAAAUAUGGGGGGAAUUCCAUGGGCUGGUAGACUCUUCUGUAUGCUGAACCUCCAGCUCUUCUUGUACCAACUGCUCAAGUGCCUGUAAUUUUUUUUCUUUAGUUAAGGGCCACUGCUCUAUACACACAGGCUUCUUAGUCAACCAUUUUAAAGGUAGGUUGUUGGUAUGAUUUGAGCAGUCCCCCAUAUAAAUUUGGAAACUCAAUCCCUGUUCUACCCUGAUUUUGGACAACCUGCACAGUCUGGGAUUGUUCUGGCUCACAUUUUUUCAAUACUUUCCACCGAAGCAGCUCACUCUUUACUUUAGAAUUGUCUCUGGUGUUGAGGGAAUAUUAACCUGAGCUCCCCACUGCUGUAAUAAAUAUUGUCCCCAUAAAUUUAUGGGCAUGUCAGCCACUAAAGGCCUUAACUUUCCUAUUGGCCUUCUGGUCUCACACAUUUAUUCCAUCACACACUUGGCUUUAUCUGAGAUAUUUCCAAUCCUGAGAAUCUGGGUAUAAACCUUUUGAAGUAGCCAUUCUGAAUUCCAAGAUUAGUAAUUUUUUUAUGUGAAAUUAUAGUUGCAUUAUCACCUGUAUCCAUCAAACCUUCUAUUCCAAUGUCAAUCACUUGUAACCUUAAUUUUGGCCUCUGAUCACUAACAACUGUUUCCCAGAACACAUGCUUUCCAGUGUUUCCAAACCCUCCUGGUCUUUCCACUGGGGCAUCUUUGCCUUUGAUAUAGGGAAACAAAUAAUAACAGUAAAUAGUAACAGCUGAGCAAUUCUAUCACCUGUGUUAAAUUCCAUCUCUCUCUUUAACCUAAGCCAGUAUUUUAAUUUCUCUUUUGAAAUCUUCAUUAUAAUUCUUGGAUGCACAAUAAACCCUUGGGAAGUCAAACUGCUCCUUCCCAAGACCAUUCCUACUAUCUUUUGAGGGCAAAGGACCAUACACACAGUAGAUAUUUUAUAACACAGGACUUUUGGGGAUAGUGUAAGAUGUUAAUCUAUGGCCAAGUCUAGAGAGGCAUUGCCUUUAGUAGCAUGAAUUAGAUCUGCAAUACUUAGUUGAGUAUUUUUCUUCUUAUUUGUUAUUUCAGGGAAAUGGUUCAUACUUUUGCUGUGGGGCCUCAAGCUAGCAACCCCUUAUCAUUUCCUAAUGGUGAGCAAUUGCCUUGUAUAUCUGUCUUGGGCCUAUGUUCAUUGCCACAUCAUCUGCAUACUCCUAUAAGUCUGGACCUUCUUUUCGAUUUAUAUUUUGAAAACCAUUGCUCUUAGAGAUGCCUUGCUCACAAUUUGGUUUCACAUGUCCAUAUUUCCCACAAUUAAAGCACUAGGCCUUUUGAUAUCAGAGAUCUCUAGCUAUUCCUUGACCUAUAUUAGCAUGUCAUAAGUUAGAACCAGUAUCAUUUAUAUUCUUUAUCCAUUCAUCUAUGGGCACUGCCCAUGCCUUCAGUUGUCUUAUGGCUUUUUACACUCUGCAAUUGCAUUUUCAAAUGCUAGGGUCUCUAUCAAUACCUGUCUUUCAUCAGGGUCUGCGACAGUCUUAUUUACUACUGAGAUCCAUCUUUGUGAAAAAAAAUCAGUAAAGGCUUCUCUGGAGCCUUGUAUAAUUUUGGUAAAUGGUGUGGAUUUCAACUUUGUCCCAAGCUCUUAAAGCUGCUAAAUGACCUUGUUCUACGAUUGCAUCUUCAAAGUGGACCUGUUCUUGUAUAUCAGCAUAAUAACUUUCACCUAUCAACUGUUCUCUCACUAUAUUAAUUCCCCCUUGCUCUAUUGUGCUGUUCCAAACUCCUGGCUUCUUCUCCUUGUCAUGGCAACCAUUACAAUUGAGGACUAGCCUCUAGUAUAGCUGUUAUCAAUUCCCUCCAGUAUUGGGGAUUAAUUCUAUUUUGAGUAGCACAAUUAUUUAGAGAAUGUUUCACAUAUGGUGAGUGCAUCCUGUAAGACAUCAUUGCCUCUUUAACUGCUUUAGGUCCUUCAUUUCUUUAGGACUCCAUACUAUUUCAUUGUAACCAUGUGGAUUAUCCUUGCUAGCAGGCAUAUGCUGUAUAAUAAGUGCUGGGAACACUGUUGGUUAUUUUUUGACUAAGGACAGCCUGCCCUCCCAAAGGUGCUGUAGGUUUAACCCUGUUUCCUGAAAAAAGCUGUCUCAUCUGACCAUUCUUCUGCUUUUUCAAUUCUUUGACUAGGCUGCCCUUUGACACAGUUCCUUCCCCUCUUUCUACCUGGGGAAAACUCUUCAGAUUCAGUCUCAGGGGAUGGACCUAUUUCUUCUUUUUCUUGAUGUUCUUCCUUUCUUUGCCCAAGCUUCUCUAUUUCCACCUCUAUUUCUUCCCAUUUACUCAGACAAUCUUUUCUCUAAUUCUUCCUGCAUUUCUUUCUGUUGCUUAGACAGUAUUUUAUAAACAAAAUAGCCAAAAAUGAGAAAAGAGAGAGGGGAGGGGGAGAAACAAGCCUGCUGCUAAAAACCAUGUAGGUGAUGUCCAACAGCAGCUUCAACAAACUCCCUAUCGGCUUUUAGGAACAAAGUAUCCAUCCCUUCUUUUCCUGUCUUUUGCUCUACCCACACAGGCUUGUUAGUCAACCAUUUGAAAGGUAGGGUGAGGUGAAGGAAAACAGCACGGAAAAGCAAACACACACACCCAAAAGCCACAUACUAAAGACUGGGGAUGUGGCUCAGAGGUAGAGCAUCUCACCAGGAUGCAACUGAGCCCAGUUCAAACAUUAGCAUAACAAAAAUUGAAAUAAAAAAUUAAAGUUAGAGGAAAACUAGAUGUAGACUAGAUGCGAGAGAGGGAGGGAGCUUUCUGGUCAACACCUGUACCAAUGGAGGGUGACUAAUGCCAAGUUGAGAUGGAGCUCACAGAAAAGCACUUUAGUGUGCUUAAGCCAGGUUCAAAGAUGUCACCUCUGUUUAUUAAAAUUUCUGUUCCACUUGGCUAAGAGCCUAUCUUCACUAGUCACUGAGGGCUGUGGGUCUUUGACCACUGGAUGGUCAGAGGAGCCAAGGUGAAGCUGUAUGAUAUGUUCACACAGGAGCACAGGUAAGGCAGACAAAGACACCAGACAUGGAUUUCUGGUCCCUAUGAGCAAAUGUAUAAGUGAAUUCCCCUAAAUAAACACAAACAGAUAUGGACACAAAACACGCAAACACACAUGACCAUACACACACACACACACACACACACACACACACACACACACACACACACACAGAAGUUUAAGGAUGCCAAGGAGAUAAUUAUAAACCCAUGACCACAGGAGCAUCAUUCAUAUUGGUUGAAAGAGGAAACACAAGAAUCCACUGACAGAUGAGUGGAUUAAAAAAAGAAGAAGAAAAGAAAAAGAGAAAAUAAAAUAUGACCUUCAUGCUGUGACCCCAGAAAUAAAUCAUAAUAAAAA